rnacentral:RNase_P_RNA from 1 species
GAAGCGGGCCGGACGGCCGAUCGAUCCGACGGGAUCGGUAGGAAAGUCCGGACUCCACAGGGCAGGGCGCCAGGUAACGCCUGGGCGUCUCGUCCCGGGGGACCCGGGGCGGGGCGACGGAAAGUGCAACAGAGAGCAGACCGCCCCGAUUCCGUUCGGGGUAAGGGUGAAACGGUGGGGUAAGAGCCCACCAGCUCCGGGGGUAACUCCGGAGGCUCGGCAAACCCCGCCCGGAGCAAGGCCAAGCAGGGGGAGUCUCGGCGCCAGCCGGGACGACGGGUGGCCCGCCCGCCCCCGGGUAGGCCGCUAGAGCCCGCGGGUGACCGCGCGGCCCAGAGAGAUGGCCGUCGUCCCGAUGCGAAUCGGGAUACAGAAUCCGGCUUACAGGCCCGCUUCCUGA